rnacentral:lncRNA from 1 species
CAGUUCCACCAUCUGAGGACCAAGUAUUCAAACCCGAGGUUAUGGAGGCCACAUUCAUUCAAGACCUCACAUCACACGCACAUCAUGUUCUUAAGCUGCUUCCUGCUUCUGGACGAGAACUCUCAGGUUCCUGUUCUGGCCACCCUGAGAAAGUGUGCUGAGAACCAGAAGAAAACAAGAGCUGGGUGUAACAGCACUUGGGACGCAGUGAGUUCCAGGCUAGCCUGAUCUACAUAGAGAAAGCCUACCAAG